ACUUGGUGAUAUGGACAUUUAGGUAAAAGGUCCCUAAAAUGCUCCCAGGUCUCAAAAAAUAGUUCCCCAUCCACUUGUGAGAAACUAGUGAUUACUCUCCUAAGUU